rnacentral:tRNA from 1 species
GCGAAAGUAGCUCAGUGGUAGAGCUUCGCCUUGCCAAGGCGAAGGUCGCGAGUUCGAAUCUCGUCUUUCGCUCCA